CCCAAUCUUGCUAUUUACACAUACACCAAUGCACCAAAAUAAGUGAAAACCUAAUCAGUCAAGUAAAGAGAUCCUACACCUUAACAAUUAAACCCCACACACAGGUCCAACAAUGAAAGCAAAGAACUUAACACACACACACACACACACACAAAAAAUAAAAUUAAAAAAUCCCCUUUAACAAUUAACAUCAGAUUAAGUAUCGAUCAGACUCAAAACUUCAAGAAAUGGCAACCCCAAUUUUAAAAAUCAAAUCUUUAUUAUCCCAAGUCAAGAAAUGGCAACCCCAAUUCCAAAAAUCAAAUCUUUAUUAGUCCCAAGUCAAGAAUCAGGUACCAAAAAUCAAGAUUGAAUAAAAAACAGUCAUCAAGAUAGUGCUAUAAACAGAAUUCAAGA